rnacentral:rRNA from 1 species
UACGAAGGGGGCUAGCGUUGCUCGGAAUCACUGGGCGUAAAGCGCACGUAGGCGGAUUGCUAAGUCAGGGGUGAAAUCCUGGAGCUCAACUCCAGAACUGCCUUUGAUACUGAGGGUCUUGAGUCCGGGAGAGGUGAGUGGAACUGCGAGUGUAGAGGUGAAAUUCGUAGAUAUUCGCAAGAACACCAGUGGCGAAGGCGGCUCACUGGCCCGGUACUGACGCUGAGGCACGAAAGCGUGGGGAGCAAACAGGG